rnacentral:rRNA from 1 species
UACGGAGGGUGCAAGCGUUAUCCGGAUUCACUGGGUUUAAAGGGAGCGUAGGCGGAUUGAUAAGUCAGUGGUGAAAGCCCCAGGCUCAACUUGGGAAUUGCCAUUGAUACUGUUAAUCUUGAGUGCGGUUGAAGUGGGCGGAAUAUGACAUGUAGCGGUGAAAUGCUUAGAUAUGUCAUAGAACACCGAUUGCGAAGGCAGCUCACUAAGCCGCAACUGACGCUGAGGCUCGAAAGCGUGGGGAGCAAACAGG